CCUGGCCGGUCGUGAGAACGCGUCUAAUAACAUCGUGGUAAUAGUAGAGAAUUGUCUACUUGAAGGCAUCUUGAAUCACCUGAGAGGCUGUCCCUUGGAAUAGCUGUGAAGGAUUUUCUGGUGUAAUUGAGAAACCUGUUCUAAUAUGAGGCAGAAGAAGA